rnacentral:rRNA from 1 species
GACGUAGGGCGCAAGCGUUGUCCGGAUUUAUUGGGCGUAAAGAGCUCGUAGGCGGCUUGUUGCGUCGUCCGUGAAACCCGCAGCUCAAACCUGGCGGCUUGCGGACGGAUACGGGGCAGGCUGGAGUUCGGUAGGGGAGACGUGGAAUUCCUGGGUGUAGCGGUGAAAUGCGCAGAUAAUCAGGAGGAACACCAAUUGCGAAGGCAGCUCGCUGGGACGUUAGCUGACGCUGGAGACGCGAAAGCGUGGGGAGCAAACAGG